GACGAACGCUGGCGGCGUGCCUAAUACAUGCAAGUCGAGCGGACUUUCAAGAAGCUUGCUUUUUGAAAGUUAGCGGCGGACGGGUGAGUAACACGUGGGCAACCUGCCUGUAAGACGGGGAUAACUCCGGGAAACCGGGGCUAAUACCGGAUAAUAUCUUUCUUCGCAUGAAGGAAGGUUGAAAGGCGGCGCAAGCUGCCGCUUGCAGAUGGGCCCGCGGCGCAUGAGCUAGUUGGUGAGGUAACGGCUCCCCAAGGCGACGAUGCGUAGCCGACCUGGGAGGGGGAUCGGCCACAGUGGGUCUGAGACACGGCUCAGACUCCUACGGGAGGCAGCAGUAUGGGAUCGUCCGCAAUGGACGAAAGUCUGACGGAGCAACGCCGCGUGAGCGAAGAAGGUCUUCAGAUCGGAAAGCUCUGUUGUCAGGGAAGAACAAGUACCGUUCGCAUAGGGCGGUACCUUGACGGUACCUGACCAGAAAGCCACGGCUAACUACGUGCCAGCCGCCGCGGUAA
rnacentral:rRNA from 1 species